AUUCCAUCCAGCCUGGGCAGCUUUCUUGAGCCUUGGGGAACUGGCUCACUGUGGAUCUCAUGUUUCUUUUGUUCCUUGCUGCCUAUCUGUCCUUGUGGCUGACUCAGUGGCAGCACGUUGACUUUGGUGGAAGUCUCUACACCCCUCCAAAGAAUCCACUCACCCAGAAAGCCUUUGUGGACAUACAGACUUAACGAAGAUAUGUGGACGAGUGGUGAGGAGGUGUUUAUAUCUCAAACCCGGAAGAAACAAGGUUCAUCUGAGGCCAAAUACCUGAUGUCAACUUUGUUUUUGCCACAACUUAGAGAUAACAUAAUAGGGGCA